GAUGAACGCUGGCGGCGUGCCUAAUACAUGCAAGUCGAGCGAACGGACGAGAAGCUUGCUUUUCUGAUGUUAGCGGCGGACGGGUGAGUAACACGUGGAUAACCUACCUAUAAGACUGGGAUAACUUCGGGAAACCGGAGCUAAUACCGGCUAAUAUUUUGAACCGCAUGGUUCAAAAGUGAAUGACGGUCUUGCUGUCACUUAUAGAUGGAUCCGCGCUGCAUUAGCUAGUUGGUAAGGUAACGGCUUACCAAGGCGACGAUGCAUAGCCGACCUGAGAGGAUGAUCAGCCACACUGGAACUGAGACACGGUCCAGACUCCUACGGGAGGCAGCAGUGGGGAAUCUUCGGCAAUGGGCGAAAGCCUGACGGAGCAACGCCGCGUGGGUGAUGAAGGUCUUCGGGUCGUAAAGCUCUGUUGUUGGGGAAGAACAGAUGUAUGAGUAACUGUGCACGUCUUGACGGUACCUAAUCAGAAAGCCACGGCUAACUACGUG
rnacentral:rRNA from 1 species